rnacentral:rRNA from 1 species
UACGUAGGGUGCGAGCGUUAAUCGGAAUUACUGGGCGUAAAGUGUUCGCAGGCGGCCGAGCAAGUCGAGUGUGAAAGCCCCGAGCUUAACUUGGGAACUGCGCUCGAAACUACUUGGCUAGAGUGUGGCAGAGGGAGGUGGAAUUCCACGUGUAGCGGUGAAAUGCGUAGAGAUGUGGAGGAACACCGAUGGCGAAGGCAGCCUCCUGGGCCAACACUGACGCUCAUGCACGAAAGCGUGGGGAGCAAACAGG